rnacentral:rRNA from 1 species
CCUACGGGAGGCAGCAGUAGGGAAUCUUCCACAAUGGACGCAAGUCUGAUGGAGCAACGCCGCGUGAGUGAAGAAGGGUUUCGGCUGGUAAAGCUCUGUUGUUGGUGAAGAAGGACAGGGGUAGUAACUGACCUUUGUUUGACGGUAAUCAAUUAGAAAGUCACGGCUAACUACGUGCCAGCAGCCGCGGUAAU